UACGUAGGGUCCGAGCGUUGUCCGGAAUUACUGGGCGUAAAGAGCUCGUAGGUGGUUUGUCGCGUUGUUCGUGAAAACUCACAGCUCAACUGUGGGCGUGCGGGCGAUACGGGCAGACUAGAGUACUGCAGGGGAAACUGGAAUUCCUGGUGUAGCGGUGGAAUGCGCAGAUAUCAGGAGGAACACCGGUGGCGAAGGCGGGUCUCUGGGCAGUAACUGACGCUGAGGAGCGAAAGCGUGGGGAGCGAACAGG
rnacentral:rRNA from 1 species